rnacentral:lncRNA from 1 species
UGUGAUGCUUUUGAAGGCAAGAUUUAUGCCAUUUUGACCCAGCUCCAUGCAUCUUGUACUUGGCCCCCUUUCAUGCAUGGACAAAGGGGCUUUUCUAGUGUGGGAGAUCUGAAAGGAUGAGAUCCUGCUCCACAAGCAUGGAUGCCCACCCCUGGUUUUCUAAGAAGCCCACCUCUGCGUGCCAAGAGUGAUGCAUUCAUUUGGGGUCCACUUGGAGUUCAAGCGCAGGCCUGAUGUUUGUGGUGCACUUUGAAUCUUCUCUAGCUUCUUUCUGCCCAUAGCAUGUCUCUCAGCC